CAACUGCCUGGGAAUGCACUCUUUUGCUGUGCUGCACAUCUGCCCUGAGUGGGAGGCACGAAGGGUAAUACUCAUACAACAGAAGUUCUUCGAGGUGGACUACGACAAGCUGAGUUCAGUCAACGUAUGGAACAAGAAAGUUCUCGAUGCUGUGGUCAAAUGGCACCCAUUUGUCCGUUUUACAUGGUUGUCUGGGCAACUGAUUCUCAGCCAUUGACCUUUGUAGGAAAUGCCACUGCUUGUGUCGUAAAUGGCACAAUAUUUGUGACCAGGGGCCACUGUGGAACCAGAGGAGGUAGCACCUAUGAAAAGAUUCAGGCCUACAAGCCAGACAUCAAUGAGUGGAUCAUUGUCACAAUAACUCCUCAUCUAGAGUAUGGCCUGUGCUCUGUUUCUCUGAACAACAAGCUGUACUUGGGAGGACAGACUAGGAUGACAUCCAGAGAGAGAUGUGUGGAGGCAGUUGUCAAUGAUGAAGGAGAGGAUGGAGUGUGGUGCUGUAGUGAUCAAUGUCUACAUUAUGUGACCGGGGGAUAUUCCUAUUCAAAGGGGACGUAU